rnacentral:rRNA from 1 species
GUUUGUGAAAACCAGCAGCUCAACUGCUGGCUUGCCNGGCGAUACGGGCAGACUUGAGUACUGCAGGGGAGACUGGAAUUCCUGGUGUAGCGGUGGAAUGCGUAGAGAUCUGGAGGAAUAUCGGUGGCGANGGCGGCCCCCCUGGACAAAGACUGACGCUCAGAUGCGAAAGCGUGGGUAGCAAACAGGAUUAGAUACCCUGGUAGUCCACGCCGUAAACGAUGUCUACUUGAAGGUUGGGAUCUUGAAUUCUGGCCUUCGGAGCUAACGCGUUAAGUAGACCGCCUGGGGAGUACAGUCGCAAGAUUAAAACUCAAAUGAAUUGACGGGGNCCCGCNCAAGCGGUGGAGCAUGUGGUUUAAUUCGAUGCAACGCGAAGAACCUUACCUACUCUUGACAUCCAGAGAAGCCAGCAGAGAUGCAGGUGUGCCUUCGGGAACUCUGAGACAGGUGCUGCAUGGCUGACGUCAGCUCGUGUUGUGAAAUGUUGGGUUAAGUCCCGCAACGAGCNCAACCCUUAUCCUUGUUUGCCAGCACGUAAUGGUGGGAACUCCAGGGAGACUGCCGGUGAUAAACCGGAGGAAGGUGGGGACGACGUCAAGUCAUCAUGGCCCUUACGAGUAGGGCUACACACGUGCUACAAUGGUGCAUACAGAGGGAAACAAGAGCGCGAGCUGGAGCGGAUCCCAAAAAGUGCAUCGUAGUCCGGAUUGGAGUCUGCAACUCGACUCCAUGAAGUCGGAAUCGCUAGUAAUCGUGGAUCAGAAUNCCNCGGUGAAUACGUUCCCGGNGCCUUGUACACACCGCCCGUCAUCUUGCNGAAAAACACNAGCCNUCCGA